ensembl:lncRNA
AUUCAUGAAGGAGGUGAAUGUUGGGGCACAACGAAACGAGCCGCUGCUCCAAACACUCGUCUCUCUUUCACCUGUGGCCCACCAGACGGCAGAACCGGUGUGUGAGCACAGACAGCACCAGGUUUCCUUGACAGGAGACGGCGUUUAUGCAUCCAGAAAAGCCACUCUUGAUCUGGGAUCAUCUAGAGACUGA